rnacentral:rRNA from 1 species
CGAAGGGUGCAAGCGUUACUCGGAAUUACUGGGCGUAAAGCGUGCGUAGGUGGUUCGUUAAGUCUGAUGUGAAAGCCCUGGGCUCAACCUGGGAAUUGCAUUGGAAACUGGCGGGCUAGAGUACGGUAGAGGGUAGUGGAAUUCCUGGUGUAGCAGUGAAAUGCGUAGAGAUCAGGAGGAACAUCCGUGGCGAAGGCGACUACCUGGACCAGUACUGACACUGAGGCACGAAAGCGUGGGGAGCAAACAGGAUU